GUGUCUUUGCAGCUCUGUAAGGAAUGUUUUGUACGGUUUUGAUCUUUAUGAUUUCUUUUUCUUCUUUCCAACGUGGACACGAUCGAGAGUACACCGGGUGGUUGCCCUGGCAGUUGGCACAACGGUACUCAUUGCUGCAAGUCUCUGGCGAAUGGUCUUUGCCAGAGCACUUUGGGCAGGUGGAGUGUCCGCGGCAGACAAGCGAACUGUGCCCAAAAUGCUGGCACUUGAAACAACGUCUUGGGUUUGGAAUGUAUGGUCUGACAUUGCAACUGAGAGACCACGCCCUGCUCACUCAGUCCAUCUUCAAUCUCAGAUUCUGUGCAUUCGAUGAGUUCAUCUUCUGAUAUUACACCUUUGGUUAUGUUCAGUGUGCGGUGUACGUUAACAUUUACAGUGCAGCAGGCGUGUCGCCCACCAUGGAGCCCAACUUGGGGAACGUGCCCCGCACGCUAACACCUACCUCUGCACUAUACCCUAGUGCAGCUUCUGGAGAGUGAAAAGACUGCCCAAGGUUGACCCUUGCCGCCAAAGAAGGUGAAGGGAGGAAAAGGAAGACAGUGAAGGAGUGGAGAAAGAAAAAGUAA